UAGCGAAGGGGGCGAGCGUUGUUCGGAAUACUGGGCGUAAAGGGCGCGUAGGCGGCGAACCAAGUCAGAUGUGAAAGUCCUGGGCUUAACCUGGGGACUGCAUUUGAUACUGGUUUGCUUGAAUUCGGGAGAGGAUAGCGGAAUUCCCAGUGUAGAGGUGAAAUUCGUAGAUAUUGGGAAGAACACCGGUGGCGAAGGCGGCUAUCUGGACCGACAUUGACGCUGAGGCGCGAAGCGUGGGGAGCAAACAGGG
rnacentral:rRNA from 1 species